GCGGGAUUAGUUGAGCGGUUCAACGUCACCCUUCCAAGGUGAAAAGACGGGUUCGACUCCCGUAUCCCGCUCAA
rnacentral:tRNA from 2 species